rnacentral:rRNA from 1 species
GACGAACGCUGGCGGCGUGCUUAACACAUGCAAGUCGAACGGAAAGGCCCUUCGGGGUACUCGAGUGGCGAACGGGUGAGUAACACGUGGGUGAUCUGCCCUGCACUUUGGGAUAAGCCUGGGAAACUGGGUCUAAUACCGAAUAGGACCACGCGCUUCAUGGUGUGUGGUGGAAAGCUUUUGCGGUGUGGGAUGGGCCCGCGGCCUAUCAGCUUGUUGGUGGGGUAAUGGCCUACCAAGGCGACGACGGGUAGCCGGCCUGAGAGGGUGACCGGCCACACUGGGACUGAGAUACGGCCCAGACUCCUACGGGAGGCAGCAGUGGGGAAUAUUGCACAAUGGGCGCAAGCCUGAUGCAGCGACGCCGCGUGAGGGAUGACGGCCUUCGGUUGGUAACCUACUUUCAAUAGGACGAAGCGUGAGUGA